UUGUUACUGCAAUGCAGUUUAGUAGGGAAGGCCCAGGGGGUUUCUUCAGCUUUGCCAAUAGAGCAGUCUUUAGACUAUGACAUUGUUAAAUCUGCAGUACUUCGAACCUAUGAGCUUGUGCCUGAGGCCUAUCGCCAGAAAUUUAGAAAUUUGUCAAAAACAGUCAAUCAGACAUUUGUAGAAUUUGCUAGAGAAAAGAAAAAUCACUUUGAAAAAUGGUGUCUGUCUAGCAAAGUUAAUAGUUUUGAACAGCUGCAAGAAUUGCUUUUGUUGGAAGAUUUCAAGCGUUGCAUCCCAGAGAAAAUUGUUGUUCACUUGAAUGAGAAAAGGGUUGUGUCUCUGCAGGAUGCAGCAGUUAUUUGUGAUGAAUUUGUGUUGACCCAUAAACAGGUGUUUUCUUCACCACGUCCAACUAGAAAUCUGUCUUUUAGGGAUGAAAGUAGGGAGAGAGGCAUGCCUAAAACUCCUCAUUCAUACAGAAAUGACAUGCCAGUCGCUAGUGGUCGUAGCCCAGUUGCUAAAUUAAAUGGAGAUGGGCGUGUUUGCUUUUAUUGUCUUGACCCCAGCCAUUUAAUUUCUGAGUGCAAGGCCUGGAAGCAGAAAAACUCUGCCAAGACUAAAAGUGUAGCAUUUGUUCAGAGUGCAUCCAGUUUUGAUUCUCCACUCAAGUCCAAACAAUAUGAACCUUUCAUUUUUAACGGCUCUGUGUCUCUUUCUGCUGGUUCUGACUAUAAGCCUAUUCAGAUGCUGAGGGACACAGGAAGUGCACAGUCUUUGAUUCUGAAGAGUGCUCUGUCAUUCUCAUCGGAGUCAUAUACUGGUGAAAGUGUUUUAAUACAGGAGAUUGAAUUGGGUUGUGUCAAAGUUCCGUUGCACCAAGUCCAUUUAAAGUCUGAUCUGGUUGAAGGGCCUGUGAAGAUAGCUGUCUGUUCUCAAUUACCAGUGAAGGGGAUAAGUCUUAUCCUAGGAAAUGAUCUAGCAGGUGGAAAGGUUUUUCCCUGUCCUGUGGUGACGGAUGUUCCUACUGCUUGUGGUUCAAAUGACAUUGCAGAAAAGUUUCCAUCCGUCUUUCCUGUUUGUGCUGUGACUCGUGCUCAGGCUCGUAAAUAUGAUGAUGUUGUUGAACUUUCAGACUCUUUCUUGAUUACUCAGAGUGAGCCGGUGGAAGUCAAGCUGUCUAUUGACCCUGAACUUUUUAAAUCAGAUCUUGAUGUCCUGACUGAAGUGGAGAAAAUUCCUUUAACACUUGGUAGAGAACAAUUAGCUAUAGCACAAAAGUCUGAUCCCACUUUAUCGAAGUGCAUAAGUGCCACCUGCGCUGGUGAAAGAAGUCCUAAAACUAGAGUAGGAUAUUUUUGGGACCGGGAAAUGCUAAUGCGUUGGUGGAGGCGACAAUUCUCUGAUGAGGAUGAGUGGAGUACAAGCUACCAAAUUGUUCUUCCACAAGGUUAUCGUAGACAAGUUCUGAAGUUGGCUCAUGAGAAUGUUUUGUCUGGUCAUCUGGGUAUCACAAAGACUUUCCAGCGGAUUUCAAGGUACUUCUUUUGGCCCGGUUUGAAGUCUGCAGUGUCAGGCUUUGUUCGUUCCUGUUGUGUUUGUCAGCUCUCAGGUAAACCAAAUCAGGUUAUUUCUCCUGCUCCUUUGCAACCAAUUCCUGUUGUGGGAGAGCCUUUUGAGAAACUCCUGAUUGAUUGUGUAGGUCCAUUGCCCAAGUCAAAAUCAGGUCAUCAGUACAUC
rnacentral:lncRNA from 1 species